UUACCCUACGGGACGCAGCAGUGAGGAAUAUUGGUCAAUGGGCGCAAGCCUGAACCAGCCAAGUCGCGUGAGGGAAGACGGCCCUACGGGCUGUAAACCUCUUUUGUCGGGGAGCAAGGCCCGCCACGUGUGGCGGGAAGGAGAGUACCCGAAGAAAAAGCAUCGGCUAACUCCGUGCCAGCAGCCGCGGUAAUACGGAGGAUGCGAGCGUUAUCCGGAUUUAUUGGGUUUAAAGGGUGCGUAGGCGGAAGGUUAAGUCAGCGGGCAAAUGUCGGUGCUCAACACCGGCCUGCCGUUGAAACUGG
rnacentral:rRNA from 1 species